GUAGGGAAUAUUGCGCAAUGGACGAAAGUCUGACGCAGCGACGCCGCGUGAGUGAUGAAGGCCUUAGGGUCGUAAAGCUCUGUUGAAUGGGAAGAAAAAAAUGACGGUACCAUUCGAGGAAGGACCGGCUAACUUCGUGCCAGCAGCCGCGGUAAUACGAGGGGUCCUAGCGUUGUUCGGAAUCAUUGGGCGUAAAGGGUGUGUAGGUGGCCAUGUAAGUCAGGUGGGAAAGCCCCGGGCUCAACCCGGGAAGUGCACUUGAUACUGCGUGGCUUGAGUACCGAAGAGGGUAGUGGAAUUCCAGGUGUAGUGGUGAAAUACGUAGAUAUCUGGAGGAACACCGGUGGCGAAGGCGGCUACCUGGUCGAGUACUGACACUGAGACACGAAAGCAUGGGGAUCAAACAGGAUUAGAAACCCCGGUAGUCC
rnacentral:rRNA from 1 species